AAACCCCAUGUACCGUAUAGUGAAUACAUAGCUAUACGGAGGUAAACCUAGGGAACUGAAACAUCUAAGUACCUAGAGGAAGAGAAAGAAAAAUCGAUUUUCUGAGUAGCGGCGAGCGAAAGGGAAAGAGCCCAAACCAGUGACUUGUCACUGGGGUUGCGGACAGAGCAUUAACGAGAAGAUGUUAUUAACCGAACAUAACUGGAAAGUUAGACCGUAGGAGGUAAUAGUCCUGUAGGUGAAAGUAACAUUUAUCAAGCUUUGAUCCAGAGUACCACGAGACACGUGAAACCUUGUGGGAAGCAGGGAGGACCACCUCCCAAGGCUAAAUACUACCUGAUGACCGAUAGUGAAGCAGUACCGUGAGGGAAAGGUGAAAAGAACCCCGGG
rnacentral:rRNA from 1 species